rnacentral:rRNA from 1 species
CUGACGGAGCAUGCCGCGUGGAGGAUGAAGCCUGUGGGUCUGUAAACUCCUUUUCUCAGAGGAAGAAGAUCUGACGGUAUCCUGAGGAAUACAGCAUCGGCUAACUCCGUGCCAGCAGCCGCGGUAAUACGGAGGAUGCAAGCGUUAUCCGGAAUGAUUGGGCGUAAAGCGUCUGUAGGUGGUUUCAUAAGUCCACUGUUAAAGAUCAGGGGCUUCAACCUCUCGGGACGGGCAGUGGAAACUAUGAAGCUUGAGUACGGUAGGGGCAGAGGGAAUUCCCGGUGUAGCGGUGAAAUGCGUAGAGAUCGGGAAGAACACCAAUGGCGAAAGCACUCUGCUGGGCCGAAACUGACACUGCAGAGACGAAAGCUAGGGGAGCAGAAUGGGAUUAGAAC